CAAGGAUUGGUCUUCGAAUGUCUCUUUGACAGUGCAUUGUGGGAACUAUUCCGGUGUAUUCUGCAAGUAUCUGUUGGUGCUACGAUUUCAUGGAUUUAAAGAAAUUUCGAUAUCGGAAGGCGUUAUCAGCGUUAUCUGGCGGCCGGCUGCGCGCACCGGAACCCUUGCGAUAAGCGGCCCGCAGAUCCCCGUCGCGAGGCGCCGCGCAGCUCUGCCAGCACACGUCGCGGCUCUGCGCAUUCCUCGGCCCGGCCCGGCUAUCUGUGACGAUGACGGGCGCUCGGGCGCAGCUGGUCACGUGACUGUCGGAUGGCGUCCUCUGCAGUCUUCUGCCUCAG